rnacentral:lncRNA from 1 species
UUGUCUUUUUGGGUUUUCCUUCAAUUUGUAUGUUUAGUAUGUUAAGAUUAUUUGUAUUUGAUCUUUUGCCUAUAUAUAUACACAUGUCGAUCAAGAGGUGGCCGGCGGUGGCAAGGCUAUUUGCUAAUUCAUAUUUCAGGGUAUCAAUUUCCAAAAUAGCACUUUAAGGGCAUAUAAUAUUUUCUUGGCACAUAUGCAAAGCUUGGUUGUACUCAAGGAUGGUUUGCGGCAUCUAUCUUCCCACCUUCAUCAAAGCUAUUGAUUAAGCAAUUGUAGGGCUGGAUACCUUGGGUGAGGAGUUUUACAACAAUAGCACCUUGACCACGCAACUCCUUUGUGACAAUCUCACUUUGUGGACCUUUGAUAUGCAGGAUGGGGCUAAUGAAAUUAAGAAAGCACUUGGUGCAAAGCAAAAUGAGGGUCUACAGCAACAACAGUGAGGCACCUCAUUCUUCUUAUCUUUGUUUCGGAGAAUUUGGCACUUAUUUAUCCAUCUUUAUUUCUUGAGCUUGUAAAUUUAGUUUCAUGUCAUUUUUGAAUGAUUAGUAAUUGUUUACUUUUGGUAACUGAUAUUUUUUUUAUUCGGUUUUUGUUUCGAUUUCACAUGCAUCUAGAUCCAGAAUGAUAAUUCGAUCGUGUUGUACUCGCGUUUUUUGGUUUUGCCUGUUUGAACCGCGCGCCUUAUGUGCAC